AUCUCAUCUUUCUCCUUUGCGUUUUAUCCUCGACGCGCGACGGCCACCCGAUGACAACCUCAUUUUUUCUCCCAUACGCGCGACGACCACUCGUCGACAACCUUCUCUUUCGUGUUCACCCCUGACGACAGCCUUCUCCUUCGACGUUUUCUCCCUGAAGCAUGACGGAAGACUUCUCCUUCGGCGUUGUUCCGCCGAAAGAAAACUAAGGUUUUUUCCUUUGCGUUCCCCUCCAACGACGGUAGCCGACGGUAGCUUCUUCUUCCCAUCCCCCCUUGACGGUAGCUUCCGCUUCCCCCUUCCCCCCUUCCCCCUGAUGAGUUUAUUGGUGGGUGAGUAAACUCCAUGGUUGGUGCUCGCCUUGUCCUCUCCAAAUCCAGUCAUGUAAUCACCAGAGGCGGGCUUGCCACCAUCGUGGAAGGCCACCACCACCAGACUCUUCUUCCUUGCACUAUAGAUGGGGAAGGAGAAAAGAGAAGAAGAUGCUUACUACUUCAAGAACUUCAUGCUUGCUCCUUUACCCACUUUUAACUUGUGAUAAAGAUUGGUAUUAUUGACUUAGCUACUAACUUAAACAUUAGUCCAAUUUUCAAUAUUGAUGACUUGCUACCUUUUCGAGGAACAUUCGAGUCUUUUUAUUUAUUUGUUAAUUUGUCUAAAGGUCAUAUAAUACCAGCUCUUGUACUCUCACCUGUGGCACCACCCACCUUCAGUUCCAACUCAUUAUGGAUGCAAAUGAUAAUAGCACCUUAUGGAAACACCCAAAGGUACUUAGUGCAUUGGUAAGGAUUUCCAGAGAUCAACAACACUUAGAUCACUGAACACGAGUUUUGACAUUGUGCUUCCAAGUUACUUGAAGCUAUGAAGCAGUAACCGUUUGCUCUGCCUACAGAGGUGUCUCCACUUUGCACCUAUGUUGAUAUCAAAAGCCUGAUUCAACGAGUGUUUUCUUCUCACUUGAUAGAGCUACUUCUUUUUGCACUGAAGAAAGAUGCAGAAAAGUGGGGGCGACAAUUUCAAUUUUAAAAUUUCAAUUUUAAAUUGUAAUAAUUUCAAUUUGAUUUGUUAUUUUUUCAAGUAGUUUGAUAUUUUAAUUGGUAGUAAAAUUAAUAGGGGCAAUUGUUUAAUUAAUCUUUAGAUCAAGUGAAUAUAAAGGUCUUAUCUUUUGAGAAAAUAAUAUCUAACUUUUUCUCACUUUGUGUGAUGUUAGGAUUUUUGCCGCAUGCUAUGCCAUCUAAAGUUGUCAAAUUAUUGGAUCUAUAUGACUAGUUUGUGUUGGAACAGGGGUGUGAACUUGCAAUCUAAAUGUUUGUUAAAGAGUGGUUAUUUUGAUAUGUGUUACCCUUUGUAUCACAUAGUUACUUUGAUAAGAUGUCAUGAUAGUAACCCUGUAAUGAUAUUACCUUUUGUGACAUGUUUUCUAAUUCCAUAUGAAGUCAUCACAUGAUUUGAAUACAUUAAUGAUGACUUUUAUGCUGCUUGUUUUGUGGAAGCUAGUAUGUUUCUUUUGCAGUAACCAGAUAGAUUUAAUAUCAAUUCAUUGAAAUUGUUAUUUAAAUUAGAGGGAGUUUGAAAGAAGGGCAGCUAUAAUGGGAGGUGGAAAUUUUGUGGUCCUUGUGCAAACUGUCCCUGAUUUUCUUGCCAAUAACUUGUCAGUUAACAAUAAAGUUUUACAUUUUUGUUAUUUGUAACUUUUGUAGCUGAUUUGGCUCUUUCCAGAAACAUCUCUACCACCAUCAAGCUACCGCAUGGGUGUUUGUGCAUCAAACCUUCAUGAGCUCUUCCCAUCUCACAUCACAGAAGCUUUGCAGCAUUCAAUACUAAUGUUUAAUAAAGAGGUUUCCAUUGCUAAUCUACUUUUUGUGAUCAUGGUGGUGAUUGUCGAAGCAACUAUUUCAAUUCUUUUCUCCUUCGGAUAUUCAUGGUCAUUAUCAGGACAAGUACAUGGAAAUUGAAAAAAUAUUACCGAUGGCAUGCAAGUAUAUCUACUCGUAUGCUAUCAAAUUGAUACAUGAAGAUGAGAGUAUACAUAUAGAAUUCGAUGAAGCUAUGUUUGGACGUCCUAAAAAUGUAUGGUUGCUAAGAGAAGAUAUCUUACAUUUUAUGGAGAUGAAAGAGAUAGGUGCAAGACAAAUUUUGAUUUACAUGGGUUACCUUUACAAAUACUUGAAGAAAGAAAAAAGAGCUGAGUAUAUGUCAUUUGUGAAUCCUGGUCACAUACCUACAUGCGGUGUGGGUGAAGAAGGUAGUAAAUUGUCACAACAUAUUGCUUCUCAGUUGAGAGCAUCGAACAAAGAUAACAUUUGCUUCAUCUCAUAUAAUACUGGGUACCAUUGGAUCUUGACUAUAAUUAAUGAAGAUAAGAAUAUGAUAUAUUUAUUGGACUUUUUGAGUAACAGGAACCGAGAGUAUGCUUGACAAACUAUUGUGACCAAUGGGGUCAAGAUAUAUAAUGCAUCAAGGGGUAUUUCAAAAGGACCAAGUUUUAAAC